CAGUAGCCGCGGUAAUACGUAGGUGGCAAGCGUUAUCCGGAAUUAUUGGGCGUAAAGCGCGCGUAGGCGGUUUUUUAAGUCUGAUGUGAAAGCCCCCGGCUCAACCGGGGAGGGUCAUUGGAAACUGGGAAACUUGAGUGCAGAAGAGGAGAGUGGAAUUCCACGUGUAGCGGUGAAAUGCGUAGAGAUGUGGAGGAACACCAGUGGCGAAGGCGACUCUCUGGUCUGUAGCUGACGCUGAGGAGCGAAAGCGUGGGGAGCGAACAGGAUUAGAUACCCGGGUAGUCCCUGUCUCUUAUAC
rnacentral:rRNA from 1 species